GGAUGUGGCGACGGGUGAGUACACGUGGGCAAUCUGCCCUGCACUCUGGGACAAGCCCUGGAAACGGGGUCUAAUACCGGAUACUGAUCCUCGCAGGCAUCUGCGAGGUUCGAAAGCUCCGGCGGUGCAGGAUGAGCCCGCGGCCUAUCAGCUAGUUGGUGAGGUAACGGCUCACCAAGGCGACGACGGGUAGCCGGCCUGAGAGGGCGACCGGCCACACUGGGACUGAGACACGGCCCAGACUCCUACGGGAGGCAGCAGUGGGGAAUAUUGCACAAUGGGCGAAAGCCUGAUGCAGCGACGCCGCGUGAGGGAUGACGGCCUUCGGGUUGUAAACCUCUUUCAGCAGGGAAGAAGCGAAAGUGACGGUACCUGCAGAAGAAGCGCCGGCUAACUACGUGCCAGCAGCCGCGGUAAUACGUAGGGCGCAAGCGUUGUCCGGAAUUAUUGGGCGUAAAGAGCUCGUAGGCGGCUUGUCACGUCGGUUGUGAAAGCCCGGGGCUUAACCCCGGGUCUGCAGUCGAUACGGGCAGGCUAGAGUUCGGUAGGGGAGAUCGGAAUUCCUGGUGUAGCGGUGAAAUGCGCAGAUAUCAGGGGAGAACACC
rnacentral:rRNA from 1 species